CCUACGGGAGGCAGCAGUGGGGAAUAUUGCACAAUGGGGGAAACCCUGAUGCAGCGACGCCGCGUGAGUGAAGAAGUAAUUCGUUAUGUAAAGCUCUAUCAGCAGGGAAGAAAAUGACGGUACCUGAGUAAGAAGCCCCGGCUAACCACGUGACAGCAGCCGCGGUAAUCCGUAGGGGGCAAGCGUUAUCCGGAUUUACUGGGUGUAAAGGGAGCGUAGACGGCAGUGCAAGUCUGGGGUGAAAGGCGGGGGCUCAACCCCCGGACUGCUCUGGAAACUGUACGGCUGGAGUGCAGGAGAGGUAAGUGGAAUUGCUAGUGUAGCGGUGAAAUGCGUAGAUAUUAGGAGGAACACCAGUGGCGAAGGCGGCUUACUGGACUGUAACUGACGUUGAGGCUCGAAAGCGUGGGGAGCAAACAGGAUUAGAUACCCUUGUAGUC
rnacentral:rRNA from 1 species